rnacentral:lncRNA from 12 species
AUGCCUUGGAUUUAUAGUCAGGGGGUGUGGCUGGGGUCCACUCUCACUUUAACCACUGUAAAUGUGAAAUCCAGUGAGCAAGUGGGAGGAAUGAGAGAAUACGGGGAUUCUUUCUCUUUCUCCCUCUGUCUCUUUCACUCCACAGUUCGAAGGAUCCUUAGGACAUAUGCUUGUCAUUAUCCAUUGAGGAAAAGCUCUGAGUGAGUGUAAGGGAAAUCCACAAGGCAUAUAUCAGUCAUAGACUGGCGGAACAUUUGCCCUCACACAUCCUUUUUCAAAAUGUACAUUCUCAAUAGCAUCCAAAAACAAAUAAUUGCGGUCACGCCGCCAUCUGAAAUGAAUUGCCAGAUUGCCCUCUUAAUACUGCCUCAUUUCAGAUGAAUUUGUGUUGCUGAGUUAUGCCUGAAACCGGCCUGAGACAGAAAGGGGAUAUCAGCACUUCAUCAGCAUCACAAAAAAAAACUUUCUGUAAAAGAGUUUCAUCAGAUCUGGAUACGUCAUCAUGGGAUGAUUAUGGAUGGACUGGAUUUUUUACUAGUAAUUUGUAAUGAUGCAGUGUGGGAUGAAGCUGACCAUUACAAUUUUAAGGCGUUGUGUGGGCAGAGACUUUAUGAUAUGAAUGAGAGAAAUCAUAACACUCAUUGUGGUGCCUGUAGGUUGUAGUUACAAGAUUAAUUUUUUCAUGUUGUUUACUCAUUGGCUGCACCAGCCAGAAAAAAAUAGAUAUUGUUGGUGUGUAAUUUGAUGUAAAGAAGUACAAUUUAUGAUAAUAUUGUUGUCAGAUUUUUUUUCUUUCCCCAUUCAAGUAAAUGGGAGCUGUACUUGAAUUAAUGGAAAUAGCUGCCUGGAGAUGCCCAAGAUGGCUGCAGAGUGGACUGACUGACUGAAACGGGACUUUGGUCUGGGUUUCUGGGGUGUUUUUAAAGAGGUGAGUGACACAGAACAUAUAUAAAAAAAAUGCUUCCCACAUCCUCACUUAUCUCACGUUAUCUGGAUACCUCAUUCAUCAUUUAGAUUAUCCAUGAUUAUUUUGAAAGUUUUCAUUUCAAAACUAUUUCUUUUAGUGAGAUGUAACUUGCUUAAUCAGAUGUGCAGUUUUUCCUGAAGAUGGGUUGGAAUGGUGCCUUGUUGAUUUAACCUUUGCCCUGAAAUGGUCUUCCAAGAGUAUCAUGAAUAAGUUCAGCUGAAAUGUCCUCACGGCAGCCUGCAGAGAUUACAAAUCACACAAAUGUGUUUGUAAUGGCUGUAAAAUAGAAAAUAAAUGCAGGGAAAGUGCAGCUUACAGCUCAAAUCCUCUGUACGCUUGAUGAAAUUCAAUAAAUUAUGGCCAAAAAACCCUGCUUCUCUCUGUACUGGAACUUGAAAAAUAUUUUUAUUCUUUUUUUCUUAUUUAAUAUUUAAGCGUUGCUUGGCUAUCUUUAAAUGGAGAGGAGGAGCUUUAGGACUGAACUGAGAAUGUUUCAAGACUUUUAAUCUCUACAACAUCCACUCAGGCGCUGAUUAGUUCUCUUCCAAGCCUUUCAAUGCUACCCUCAGGAGUGAUUUCUGUGCUUAUAUUCUUCGUGGCGUAAGAUGUUUUACUUACAGCAACACUGCGUUUUUAUGGGCCUGCCAGAAACCAAAAUUAAAGAUUUUUCUUUUUUCUUUUUUCUGCUUUCCCCCAGAACAGCAACCAUACUGAUGUACUCUAUCAGUUUUGGACUAAAGGCUAAAUCAAAUCAAACAAUUUUGAAGAAACACUGGUGUUAAUUCUUUUUUUUAUUGUGAUCUAAUAUGCAACAGUGGUGUAGUUCAUUUAUAUCCUAGGCUUUUUACUUUUACCAAUUGUAUUUAGUCUUCAAAAUUCAUAAAAGUUGUGGUUAUUUGUGAAGAUUAUUAUUAUCAAAUUUUCACCAACAAUAUGUUUUGAUUCAGUUCACAUAUUUAUUGUCAUGAUGCACAUUUUCCGUCUCGUCUAAUCACUGACAAAAUCAAAAACCCUUUGUUAACAAACUUUUUUGUCUGUAAUUUCACGACAAGGUUACCAGUGCUUGUGGCUUGGAGAGAGAUUGUAAGUUUGGAAUUUAUUUUCAGCCGUCAAGUUCACUCUGAAUUCAUGAGCUAAGUGGCCUCAGAGUCUUUCAAGGCUCCGGUUCUGUGACUGUGGAUAUGCUUAGUUUCAUUCACUGAGGUGAUGCUAGACCUGACAGAGGAUGGAGGGUCUUCCAGCCAGUGAAAUGUGCUUCUGCCACUUUUGUCUACUAUGCUCAUAAAGUUCAACCAUAUAUGCGUGGACAGAGGCUCCUUGUGAAAAACAAGAUGGCCAUGCAGAGCUUUGCCAAGAGAAACAUAAGUAGACAGAAAAGCGUGCACAAGCCUGAAGAACAUUCUUCUCUUCAUGGCAGAUCCAUCAUUUUUGAGUUCCACAUGGUUUGUGUCUGAAACGUUAUGCAGUGUAUUAUAAUGUGUUGGGUUUGUUUAACCUUUCUUCUCCCUCUCUGAACCUGAUACGUUCCUUUAUUGCUGAUUGACUUGUCUGAUCUAUUUCUUACA